GACAGAGGAUGCAAGCGUUAUCCGGAAUGAUUGGGCGUAAAGCGUCUGUAGGUGGCUUUUAAGUCCGCCGUCAAUCCCAGGGCUCAACCCUGGACAGGCGGUGGAAACUACCAAGCUGGAGUACGGUAGGGGCAGAGGGAAUUUCCGGUGGAGCGGUGAAAUGCGUAGAGAUCGGAAAGAAUACCAACGGCGAAAGCACUCUGCUGGCCGACACUGACACUGAGAGACGAAAGCUAGGGGAGCGAAUGGG
rnacentral:rRNA from 1 species